CCGCUGCUGCCUGCACGCCCCCUCUGCCUGGCCGGCCUAGGGAGGGUGGCUAGGUUAGGUUAUGUGUGUGUGUCUGUCAGGGAGGAUGGCUGUAGUGUAGUUAGGUUAGGUUAGGUUAGGUUUGGUUAGGUUUGGUUUGGUUUGGUUUGGUUAGGUUUGGUUUGGUUUGGUUUGGUUAGGUUUGGUUUGGUUAGGUUUGGUUUGGUUUGGUUUGGUUUGGUUUGGGUUUGGUUUGGUUUGGUUUGGUUUGGUUUUGUUAGGUUAGGUUAGGUUAGGUUAGGUUAGGUUAGGUUAGAUUAGGUUAGGUUAGGUUAGGUUAGGUUAGGUUAUAUUAGAUUAAGUUAGAUUAGAUUAAGUUAGAUUAGGUUAGGUUACAUUGUUAGGUUAGGUUAGGUUAGGUUAGGUUAGGUUAGGUUAGAUUAGAAUAAGUUAGAUUAGAUUAAGUUAGAUUAGGUUAGGUUACAUUGUUAGGUUAAGGUAGACUAGAUUAAAUUAAAUUAGGUUAGACAGUCAGCCAUACAAGUAACCAAUUUCAUAAGUAAUUGAUCAAACAGGUAUGUAAUUCUAUUAAGGUAAACUGUGGAACUCCCUGCCUGCUUCUGUAUUUCCACCUUCCUACGACUUGAAUUCCUUGAAGAGGGAGGUUUCAAGACACUUAUUCAUCAAUUUUUGACCACUGCUUUGACCCUUUUAUGGGACUGACAUUACAGUGGCCAUUUUUUUUUAUUAGAUUUUUGUUGCCCUUGGCCGGUGUCACUCCUACAUAAAAAAAAAAAAUAAAUAAAUAAAAAAUAAAAUAAAAUAAAAUAAAAUAAAAUAAAAUAAAAAAAUAAAAAUACAAUAAAAGGUUAAGUUAGGUAGUGAACCAUACAAGUAACAAGUUUUAUAAGUAAUUGAUCAGGUAUGUAAUUCUGACAUCAACUAAGUAAUCAAUUUCAUAAGUAAUCAGCUGUGAAGGCAAGUAAUUCCCAUUCUACAAGUAAUCAUAUUUAUAAGUAAUCAGUUCAAUUAAGUAAUCACCUCAAACCAGACAAGUAAUUAAGUAAUCCACACUAGUAUAAGUAAUCAGUCAGUUAAACAAGUAAUCACCUUUCUAAGCAAUUACCUAACAUGUAAUUGCCUUAGUAAUUAGUUAAGUAAUCACCUAAGUAAUUAAUAUGUAAUCACCUUUGUAAUUAAUUAUAUAAGUACACCAUUUGUAAUUAGACAAGUAAUCUAUACAUGUAAUCAGUCAAAAAAGUAAUUAACCCUUUAAAUAAUCAAUUCAAUAUGUAAUCACCAUAACUAAUUGCCCUAACUACUUAAUCACUCAUUUCAUAGGUAAUCAGACAAGUAGUAAUUUAUAUAAGUAAUCAAAUAUAUAAUUACACUUUUAAGUAAUCACCUUCAUUUAAGUAAUUAUAUAUAUGUAAUCCCUAACUACCCUUCUCCUAAGUAAUCAGGCAGGCAAGUAAUUCAUAAGUAAUCUGUCAAACGCAUAAUUACACCUUUAAGUAAUCAUGAAUAUGUAAUCACCUUCAUUUAAGUAAUUAUAAGUAAUCCCUAACUGUAGUAAUCUAAGUAAUCA